GUUUCUCACUGUCUCCUCUCUCCUACCGAGGAGAAAACGGAAGCAAAAGCAGAGCCGAAAGCUCAGACGCAUUUCUGGCCGUACGAUCCAUGCUUCCCGGUGUAAUCCACGGCUGACAUUUCACGAUGCAGCUCCUCAUCGUCGCCGGCUGAGAUCUUGAUCCCUCAUUCUCCAGGUGAUUGAGAUAUAUUAAAAUGCGGUCACAUCCUGGAAAAUUUAUCGAAAGGCAAACAAGGAAGAAAAUGACUUAACUGGUUCAAGUUUUCCCAGAUACCUGGAUGCUCUUCAGGUUAGAUGCAGCAUGCCAAUUGUUUCAUGGGCUGUAGCCUGUUUUGCCAACUAGGCAACUGCUGUUUUAUGGAUUAUGUGCCUGUUUCUAUCCAAUGUGUUGAUGGUCAUAAAGAUGAGGCAGGCUUUCAGGAUGGUCAUUCUCAUAGAUGCUCAUCACUGCUGUCCCAGUUGCUAACCAGGUGGGAACUCACUUGAUGUUCUUUGGAGGAGAGUAAGGAUUGGGCACCCAAGUAAUGGGGACCUGCGAAGUAUAGUGAAAGCAUGGUAUCCAGAAUUGAAGCCUCUUGCUGGAAAGAAACCUUUGAUAGGGUUAACUACAUCCCUCUGUACCAACUUGGGGGAUUUCAGUCCGGAAUCAUCCAUCCUUCAGUUCUCUCAGCAAGUUCUCGUUGAGGGAUCUCCUUAAAUGGUGCAAGAGAAUAGCAGCUUUAGGUUUUCACUUCCUUGGGGAUGGUUUGUCAGCUGAUGCCUGUAAAUGCAUUUUUCUAGAGGCUGUAGUUAUUUUUGUUGCUUUCUCUGCUUCAGCUGAAAACCGGCUAACUGUAAUGAGAGAACUUGCUAAGAUGUGGGCUGUAUCAGACUCAGUUGCAGAGGCCUUUUAUCCUCCCAAUAAACCCGUAAUUCAGGAUUUGGGAACAGAUUUAACAAUUGGAUGAGUAACACUCCUGUGCAAUCGAAGAGUAGUAAUUGCAAGCAAUUGGCAUUGUUUUAAUCCAGUACCAGGAAGACCACACUUGUGCAGAAUUUGGUCAUGAGGAUUGAUCAGAAACUUACUGUUUUGAAUUUGAGUCAGCAAAGUGAUGUGGCAGAUUUGUUAGGGGGAUUUAAGCCUAUGGAUGCACAGUUUGUUUGCAUCCCUGUUUAUAAAGAGUUUGAAAAUCUGUUCUCUUAACACGUUUUCUGUGAAGGUAAUGUUUGAAGGUCUUUGUCUGCCUGCUUCUUGUCCACUGUUGAUCAACUUCAUGAAUGAUUGCAUUUUUUUGACCCGGAUUUUGGGGAUAACAGGGAGUUUCUUGCCCAUUUACAGCAUCAUCUAAGUGAUAAGAAUUGGAAAUGUUAAUGACUGGAUUUAAAAAAGGUGUUGACUUUUUUCAGAAGUCGGCUGAGAUAUGAAAGCUUGGUUUUGGUAAAAAGCAGAAGAAAGCUUUGGAUGAAACAGUACUCAAAGCAUAGGAGGAUUUUUCUGUUAAACUUGAUACAUCUCGUGGGCAAAUUGGUGCCUCAUCUGGAAUGCUAUUUCAAUUUGUGGAAGGGGCUUUUGUGACUGCACUUUGAAAUGGUGACUGGAUUUUGCUUGAUGAGGUGAAUUUGGCUCCCCCAAAGACAUUGCAAAGAGUUAUUGGUGUUCUUGAAGAUGUGAAUGGGUCACUUUGGUUAGCUGAAAGAGGGGUUUCCAGUUAUAUACCUAGGCUUCCUAAUUCUCGUUAAUAUGCUUGUAUGAAUCCUGCAAGUGAUGAUGGGAAGAGGGACUUGCCAUUCUCUUUAAGAAGUAGAUUUACAGAGUACUUUGUUUAUGAUGUGUUGGAUGAUAAAGAUUUGACUCUAUUUAUUACUCAAUCUUUAGAUGACAGUUGUUCGAGUGGAGACUUGGUAGAUGAAAUAGUGUCUUUCUAUAAAGCAGCCAAGGAUUUGGAAGAGAGGCUGCAGGAUGGGGCUAAUCAGAAGCCCCAGUACAGUUUAAGGUCUUUUUAUCAUGCAAUAGAAUAUACUAACAAAUCAAACAGAUAAUUUGGAUUUUAGAAAGCAAUUUAUGGUGGAUUUUCUAUGUUUUUUCUCGCUUUGUUAGAUGUGCCGAGUGCUAUGUUAAUGGACCAAAUGAUUUUGUCCAAAUUAUUAGGAGGAAAGAUACCUCCACAAAUACCUUUUUGAUGAAUACUUGAUGGUUAGGGGUAGCACAAGCUCUGGUGAUUUCUUGGAGAACUAUAUUUUAACUAAAAGUGUGAGGAAGCAUCUCAGGAACCUGGCUCGUGCUGUUUUGAUUAAACAAUAUGCUGUUCUCUUACAGGGUCCCACCUCCAGUGGAAAGACGAGUCUUGUGCAGUAUCUUGCUGCAAUAACCAGCCAUGAAUUUGUAUGGAUCAGUAAUCAUGAACACACGGACGUUCAAGAAUACUUAGGUUCCUAUGUGACUGAUGCUAGUGGGAAGCUGGUCUUUCAUGAAGGUGUAUUGGUUAAGGCUGUCCGGAAUGGAUAUUGGAUAGUUCUGGAUAAGCUUAACUUGGGCCCAUCUGAUGUGCUGGAAGCCUUGAACCAAUUGUUGGACGACAACAGAGAGCUUUUUGUGCCUGAGUUACGAGAAACAAUACCAGCACAACUAGAUUUUAUGCCUUUUGCUACUCUAAAUCCCCCCAGUCUCUAUGGAGGACAUGAAAUGCUUUCUCGAGCAUUUUGUAACCGUUUUGUGGAGAGUCCUGUUGAUGAGAUCCCACAAGACGAGUCUAGCACGAUAUUAAACAAGCGGUGUAAAAUCCCUGAAGGUUAUGUGAAGAAAAUGGUUGAAGUUAUGAAGGAGUUGGAGUUGCAUCAGCAGAGUAGCAAAGCGUUUGCUGGAAAACAUGGAUUCAUAACUCUCAAGAGACUUAUUUUGGCGGGCUGAUCGUUUCAGGACAUUUGGGAAUUCAUAUGAAGAUUUGGCCAGAGAUGGUAUUAUCUUUUGGCAGAAACACUCAAAGAUGAGGGUGAGAAAAAGGUUGUUCAAGCAGUUUUAGCUAAACAUCUCCGGGUUAAACUAGUCAAAGAUAAUGUGGACCAUCAGGUGUGGUUCUUCUCCCUCCCUCCUCUCCCUUCCUCUCUCAUGUGGGCAUUUUGUUGCAUGCGUGCUUGCAUUGUAUAUGAGGUCAUGAUCUACAUAUUAAUUUAUAUUUCUUUGCCUUUUGUGUUUCUGUACUUUCAGCCAUCUUUGCCUUUUGUGUUUCUAUACUUUCAGUUAUGUUUACCUUCUGUGUUUCUAUACUUUCAAUUAUGUUUACCUUUGGUGUUUCAAGAACAAGCAGUCGCUUGUCCUCUCAGAGAAAGAUAUAAAAAUCCAACAUAUACAUAUAUCCUCAAGUGGGAAUUGUCCCUACAAGAGCCUCAGGGAUAAUACUUUCUAUUGGUUAGCUUAUCUGUCAAUUGUGUUGCUAAUUGUGAUAGUGUUCACCAUACCCUUGGAAAGGUCCAUAGUUCUUCUGAUAUUGAGGUCAUAAUGCCAAGCUCCUCUGUUUUUGGAGGAGACCCAAGAGAUGACAACCAAGAAAUUCCCUCUAUUUUAAGAUUCAUGAUUGCCAUAAGAGAUGGCUCAGUAGCUAAUCCAUUAAGGGGUCACAUUGUAUUGCUUGAUAGAUGGAAUCUUCUCACCUUCCAAAUUCUUUCUUUAACUAUGAAUGGAAAGGAAUCUUCCAAAUUGCCAAGGAUCUAGAUUUCCAUAAUUCAUUCCUAAACUUGACUUGUUGCAGUAUGAUUCAAUAGAACUCCUUGUGGUCCUUAUAAUCCGUUUGAUGCCCAUCUGACCCAAUCUUAAUACUCUGCUAUAAGUAUUAUUUUAUUUUGUUUAAAGUGGGGAGGCGGAAACUUUAUACUUGUUCAGGGCAAAUAGCUGGAGCAAUUGUGUUUUGCAUUGGUGCUUUUACUUCUUUGCUUAAUUGUGCUCUCAUAUUUUGUUUUGUGUGAGAUACAUGUUGAUUGGAGUUCGCUAUUUGUUAUUGCAUCCAAAUUGUUGGAAGAGGAAUUUAUUGAGGAAGGAAUGUUGGGAUAUGGAAGACUAUCUUCAACCAUUUUAAGCAGCUAGCUAGGGAAAAUCAUUUGUAAGUUCUAUACAGCAUGCUGAAGAGCAUUAAUUGUGAGUUGUAAACCCCAAAUUGUUUGGUGAUUCCUUGACGUAAAACUUUCUCCCUUGUAUUAAAAUCCUUGCCUUUUUUUACUCGACUAUUAAUUGAUAGUUAAGAUUUAUCCCUUUGACUAUACUUGUAUUCUUAAGAAAAAUUUCUUUUGGUUGCCUGAUUCGAACAAUUUCCUGAAUAUCCUGAAGUGGCUUUUUAUUUUUAUGGUUUAUUUAUUUUUGCAAUCCAGAAACUUGGUGAAGAAGACAUUGUUUUCAGUUUGGGCAAACACAUAGGGGCUUCUGAAAGUCUUGGAGAGUAUGACCUCUUUAAGGCCACAUCAUUUUUUUGUACUGCCUGCUUGUGCUUUUCUUAAAAAAUAUCAUUACCAAUUAUUUGGUUAUUGUAGUAUUAUCUAGACAAAAAGUAUGCAGAGGUUGUACUUUCUUGUUGAGUGUUGCUACAGAUUGUGUGAACCCAUCCUUCUUGUUGGUGAAAUUGGUGGUGGAAAGACUACCAUUUGUCAAUUAUUGAGUGUUGUUUUGGGGUUAAAAUUACACAUUUUGAUUUACCACCAAUACACAGAAACGUCUGAUAUUCUUAGGGUCUCCUUCUAUUUUCCAUGACUGUAAUCUCUCUGUUGCAGGGUUUUGCAAGUUGUAAGCCCUUAUUAAAAGUUCAAUCACUUUGUUAAUAUUAAAUGGUAAAUAUAAGAUAGAUUCUAUCCUAUUCAAGAGAGAUCAAGAUUGAUUUCGGAAUUCAAGUUUCUAAUUGAACAAUUGAUGGUGUUGUAAGGCUUUUUGUUGACUUUCCCGAUGAUAUUGUAUGUAUUUCUUUUUCUUUGUUCCCCGUGUACUUGUUGAGGUUUGUUCUACUCGCAAUUGAGUAUGUAUACUUUCUCAUGCAUUUCGUUGGCUGUAGUCAAUUUCUUUAGAUAUAUGUCAUGCUUCUCAGACUCUCUUGAUCAAGUAUUGUAAAUAGCUACCAACAAGGUGUUGUCGCAUGGGCUGAUGUCACUACACAAGAUCUUGAUUCUUUUGUGCGAAUGAAGUUGGACCGAGCUUAGCUGCAUUAGAAAUGGCAGACUGUUUUUAUGUGGCAAGAUGGACCUCUUGUACAAGCAAUGAAGGAUGGUGAUCUGUUUCUUGUUGAUAAAAUCUCCUUGGCUGAUGAUAGCGUACUUGAACAAUCGAACAAUGUGUUGGAGCCAGAAAGGAAACUGGCCUUGGCUGAGGAAGGAGGGGACCCGUCUCUGGAGAAAAUAAUUGCUCAUCCAAAUUAAUUCAGUUUUCUAGAAAAAUGUGUCAUUAUUUUUAUCAUGGGUGGAUAGCACUUAUACAUAGUUGAGUUAAAAUUUAAUAUUUGAUUUAAUCCUUUUUCCAUGGAGUUUUGCAAACAUUUUAUGCAGGUUUCUGGCUAAUAUACCAAAAAGAAAAUUUUGGUUCGUCUUAAGAUGGGUUUUUUUUUACGUGUCAAGAUAGAAUCGGGAUAAGUAGGAGGUUGAAGAAAACUUUUCAUUGUCACUUUUUCCGAUAGUUGAUAUCGGAGUAGUAGGUUGUUGAUGGGCUUAGCUGCUUUUGCAUAGUAUUCAUGUGUGGGUAUUGGGCGGGCUUGGGCAGAGUGGAGUGCAUGUGUCUCCUUAUGCAGUCUAGCUGGAGGUGAGAAUAUUCUCAUCUUUUAACAACACUAAUGCAAAUUAGCAAUAACCUCUACUUUUUCAUAUAUAAGCAUGUUCCCACUAUUCAAUUUUGAAAUUCGUCUCCUCUAAAAAGGUGAAAUCAAGAAACCGAAUAGUAUCUAUUCUCUGAGUGCUCUCUCGAACUUCCAUGGCCCGUUCAUUUUUCUGCCUAAUUUCGAAACCCUAGAAGAUGAAAGCCAUGAUGGAUGUCUCUUCGCUCAAAAGUCGAUAAAUAUCUCAUCUUCAUUCCUUUGAACUUGAAGAAUUCAUCGAAGACUAUUGGGAAGCUGUUGCUGAUUUAUUAAAGUGUUCCCGUCAUGGAUUUAGGCAACAUCAGUUGUAGGAAGAAACAACCUAUACACUCUUCGAAUUGGAAACCACAGAAGGGUUGGAUACUCAACUCCAUGGGACCAAAUGAAAAUUACUUAUUUUUCGUUGUAAAUCAAGUUGGGUAGUUGGUUGGAUUUUUAAGUUGAUUUUGCAUGUUUAUAUUUGUAGGCUUAAUUUACGUCUCCUGUACACUAUGGUUAAGAACAUAAUACUAUUGAAAUAUUCAAAAACAAAAUAUGCUCUUUGUGAUAUAAUUGGGACAUGUGCUACCAAAAGAUGCUCUUUAUGGUAUAAUUGGGACAAAAGAUGCUCUACAUGAUGCAAUCAUGUGUUGAUGAUUGUUUGGUCGGUUCUCCUAUCAUAGACUGGGAGGACCAACCGUAAAGAUUAUGUGAAGAGCAAAGUUGGGGUUAAAAAUAUCAGACGUUGCUUUCUUGUGGAGGCAGAUGGAUUCGCAAAGUUGAUUUCGACCAAUGCAUCUUUUUCUACAGGAAUUUUCUUAGGACCAAUCCACUUAUGAAGCUGUGGAGAAUGUGUUUGUUACCAUAUAUAUAUAUAUAUAUCAGGAAAAGAUUGUUUUCUUUAAUUAUCCUAAAUAUUCAUGGCAUCCAAACAAGUGGGGUAAAUCUUUUGGUUCGUGAUUUAUGUUCAGUUUUCUUAUCAAUGGUGUUUUUUCCCAUCAACAAUUGAUAAAACCCUCAAAUAUUCUCAAGUACGAGAAACGGGAAGAAAAG